CCUCAGCCUUUACCCCAUCCUCUGACAUGCCUCUACCCUGCCUCACUCCCUAUACUGAGAAGUUGGGUGGUUGAGUAGUUAUGUUGGGUUGGCAAUACCUGACUCUCCCUGUAUCAGAGAGAAUCCCAGCUGUUUGUGCUGCUGCAGUAGUGCAAAACAAGUGGAGCUGGGACUAUGGAUUGAACCCUAUGCUAGGAAGGCUCUGAACCAGAAAGAAUUACCACACAGCUGUUCUGCCAGGAGACAUUGUAGCAACAGGGAAUCAUAGGCCCUCACAGGGCAGCAUUAACUCUUGCAAUUGGACUGGAACGGGUGAUAUCAGGACUUAAGGGAGAGAUGAUAGCAGGUGGCAGCAUAUGAGAAGAUAUUCUGCCCUUUAUGGGGUUUGUAUUUCGGGAAGAGACUUCUGCAUAGUGUACAUGAAGCUUCCUUCCACCGCUGCUUUCAGAAAAUCAUCUGAGCACCCAUCUACUCCAUGAAGCAAUCUGGCCAUAAUAUGCCAUUCUGUGUUUGGUAUUGUACUUAAUGCACCUUUGGAUUGUAAAGUCUUUGGAGUAGGCACCUGUUGUUUGUUUGGCACCAUUUACCUAGCUAUUGUGCAGUGGUAUUUAGGUUAGUGUUGCUGUAUCAAUAACACUUGUACACAGAGUCACAAAAUAAGACAUGCCAUCCUUGACACAGGCACUCACGCUAUUCCUUUCGCGUUCAUUAUUUGUGGUCACAGUCAUAUAGCUUGAUACUGAUACCAACCUGAAGAGAACAGUUGUGGAUCAGCCCAUGCUUCGCUUACUAGUUUGAUGAUGCUGAGAUUGGAAGAGAACAACCAAUCAAUGAAUGGCUCUUUCCUUGCCUUGUGUUGGUUGGCAAGUGUUUGGCUGUCAUCUUUCAUUUCCCUCUUCAUAAGUGGGGUUGAGGGAAAAAGAAGCUGAAGAAAAUCCCAUUAACAGUUAAUUUAUACUUAUUUGACUAAAUCACACCUGAUACCCAGUACUCUGACCAUUGAGAUUACUUAUUUAUGCAAACAUAUCCAGUUUUACUGUUACCUCCUCCCGUAUUCCACUUCAUCCCCAUUUGUCUGCUCAAUCCGCCUGCUAUAUGUAUUAUGGUAGUGCCUAGGAGCCCCAGUUGUGAACUAGACUCCAUUAUGCUAGGCGUUGUACAAACAUAAAAAAGAUGGUGCCUGCCCCUUAAGGAUUUACAAUAUAAAUAAUACCUGUUGCAUUUUGUCAUCAUCUAGACUGUGAGUUUUCUAGAGCUGCAACUGUCUUUAUUUCACUCAUUUGUGUAGUGCCUAGCACAAUAGGGCCCAGUCACUGAUUGAGGCAU